rnacentral:rRNA from 1 species
UACGUAGGGUGCAAGCGUUAUCCGGAAUUAUUGGGCGUAAAGAGCUCGUAGGCGGUUUGUCGCGUCUGCUGUGAAAUCCCGAGGCUCAACCUCGGCUUGCAGUGGGUACGGGCGAGGCUAGAGUGCGGUAGGGGAGAAUGGAACUCCUGGUGUAGCGGUGGAAUGCGCAGAUAUCAGGAAGAACACCGAUGGCGAAGGCAGUUCUCUGGGCCGUAACUGACGCUGAAGAGCGAAAGCGUGGGGAGCGAACAGG